GAUGAACGCUGGCGGCGUGCCUAAUACAUGCAAGUCGAGCGAACGGACGAGAAGCUUGCUUCUCUGAUGUUAGCGGCGGACGGGUGAGUAACACGUGGAUAACCUCCCUAUAAGACUGGGAUAACUUCGGGAAACCGGAGCUAAUACCGGAUGAUCUUUUGAACCGCAUGGUUCAAAAGUGAAAGACGUUCUUGCUGUCACUUAUAUAUGGAUCCGAGCUGCAUUAGCUAGUUGGUAAGGUAACGGCUUACCAAGGCAACGAUGCAUAGCCGACCUGAGAGGGUGAUCGGCCACACUGGAACUGAGACACGGUCAAGACUCCUAAGGGAGGCAUCAGUAGGGAAUCUUCCGCAAUGGGCGAAAGCAUGACGGAGCAACGCCGCGUGAGUGAUAAAGGUCUUCGGAUCGUAAAACUCUGUUAUUAGGGAAGAACAUAUGUGUAAGUAACUGUGCACAUCUUGACGGUACCUAAUCAGAAAGCCACGGCUAACUACGUG
rnacentral:rRNA from 1 species